rnacentral:tRNA from 1 species
GGCGGAUUAGGAUAAGUUUAGAAGUCUGAUUGGUUCAUAGUUAGUAGGUUAGUUUCGCUU